rnacentral:misc_RNA from 1 species
GAAAUGCGAUAAGUAAUGUGAAUUGCAGAAUUCAGUGAAUCAUCGAAUCUUUGAACGCACAUUGCGCCCGCCAGUAUUCUGGCGGGCAUGCCUGUCCGAGCGUCAUUUCAACCAUCAAGCCCCCGGGCUUGUGUUGGGGACCUGCGGCUGCCCGCAGGCCCUGAAAACCAGUGGCGGGCUCGCUGUCACACCGAGCGUAGUAGCAAUCACCUCGCUCAGGGCGUGCUGCGGGUUCCGGCCGUUAAACAGCCUUACAAAACCCAAGGUUGACCUCGGAUCAGGUAAGAGGACCCGCCGAAUUUAAGC